rnacentral:RNase_P_RNA from 1 species
UGAGUUGGGUAGAUGGUCGCGUUCCGAGCAAUUCGGGAUGAGGAAAGUCCGGGCUCCGCAGGGCGAGGCGCUGGGUAACACCCAGGAGCGGUGACGCUAUGGAAAGUGCAACAGAGAGUAGACUACAACGCACUAUGCGUUGUACAGGUGAAACGGUGCGGUAAAAGCGCACCAGUCCCGGUGGCGACAUCGGGAGCUAGGUAAACCCCGCCUGGAGCAAGGCCAAGUAGAAGGACGUAAAUGGGUGCGCCCGCCUAGUCCUCGGGUGAGCCGCAAGAGGUUGAUGGAAACAUCAAUCCCAGAUGAAUGAUCAUCACCCUGAUGCGCGAAAGCAAAUUAGGGGACAGAACCCGGCUUAUUCCCAACUCAAGCG